CACCAUUCUUUCUUUUUCUUUUUCUUUUUCUUUUUCUUUUCUUUUUUCCCUUCUUCUUCCCCGAAACACACACACACACACGCAGCUUUUCUUUCUUCUCUCUCGACCGUCCCUCUCUCUCCUGUAUUUCAAAUUCCGGCCACCCAUAGCCCUCACGCGCCAGCCACCAAGGAAGCCCGCCACCUCGCGAGCUUGGCCACCAAGUUUCACGGCCAGCCGCCGCCGGACGCGCGCCGAUCGGGCCGGAGAAGCCGCCGGCCGGCCAAGUUUCUCUCUCCUCUUUUCUUGUGUUUUUCGGCCAGCCCACUCUCAAUUGAGCCUCCUAUCUCCCUAUUUUGGGUCCUCUGAAUCCAAAAAUGGCCUCCAAUCCCAGAAAUUCGAAGCGGUUUGCGAGAUAUGGGGAAGUGAACACCGGCCGAAACUUUCCGACCAAAUUCCGGCCACCUCCGGCGGAAUUGGGGUCGACGGAGACCGGAUUGGUGAUCCUCGUUCCAUGAGCUUCGAUUCGGAUCACCGGUGAGUCGUAGAAUUGAUCCCGUGGUGGAUCUUGGAUUAAUUGCGUGUUCCAGGUGAAUGACCCACCUUCAAAAAUUAUUUUGGGCAAUUAAUUAAAUUUAAUUGAUAUUUAAUUUAGUAAUUAAUUAUGCUCAUGUGGUGUGGUUUAAUUAUGGUUUUAAUGUGGUUUAAUUUAAUUUAUUUGUUAUGCAUGAGCAAUGUAUGUUUCGGUAUUAAUUUUACGUGGUUUCAAAUGUGAUUUCUCGGGCAUAAUUGGGUUAAAUAUUUUAUGAAAAUAUUUGGUUAAAUUUUAUAAAUUAUGCCCGCGGUAUUUUUAUGGUUGCAUUUUGUAUUUCGAGAAAAUUGUGGUUUGUUGUUAUCGCUGUUUCGUACCGGGUGAUUGGAUAAAAUAUGUGGGAUGGUGUUUUGUGAAAUUUUGGUAUACUUCCCACGGUGGUUUUUGGAAAAACGGUACGGUUGGUUGUUUAUGUUUAUUUUUAGACGCACUCAUACAGUAUUGGUGUUCUGGUGUAUGGUGUAUGGACACGUGGUUUAGCACGCGGUUAUUAUAUGGUUUAGCGUGCGGUUAUUACUUCACCCGUGAGUUGCCAUUGGACCGUGGGCAGGCAAGGUUAUUGUUGCGCACAGCCGCCCCCCUCCUUGGCCGGGUGAUGGUUUUUUUAGCAGUCGGUACUGUUGGGACGCCGAAGUGACCACUGCAGGUUUCUCUCUUUAAUCUCCCGCCAGUCGGUGCUCGGGACGCUGGAUAUCGGAGGGCAUCACCGGUAUAUGGUGUGGUGCGUCAGGUGUAAUUGUCGGUGUAAAUUGCAAUUAAAGUUUAAAACCCCAAAGGUGUUCUAAAAUUUAUUUAUUAUAAUUUAUUACAGUUUAAUUAUAUAUUUGGGGUAUUUAUUUAUUUAAUUGUUGUUUGUUAAAUUAUUUAAUCCCUUGAUUUUCGGGAGGUAUGCAUACUGGGUUUUGCGAAAAGGUUUUAAAAAGGGGAACUUUUCCAACUGAGAGAAUUGUAAGGGUUUUGAGAGAAAUUAUUAUUUUCCAAUUAAUUAUUAUCUAUCUACUGUAUUACUGUGGUAUUAUAUUGUAUAGUAGAUAGGGUCACUCACUGAGAUGAUUAGCAUCUCACACUCUUAAAUUCCGUUCCCCUAGGUCCAGGUUGGAGAUGUUGAUUGUCCGGGGCGAGCCCAACGUCUCAGUUCGUUGCCGAAGGUUCAAGAAGUUUUUCUUCCCUUUUUCCUCUCUAUCUUAUAUUGUUUCCGUAUCUGUCAUUUUAUAAAUUCCGCAUGUAUCUGUAUAAUGCUCUGUAUACUGUAUUGGACGUGUGGUUGUUAUUUAUGCACUGGGUUGCCGCUGUUUUCUUUUGGAGUGCUGCAAUUUGUGGAAUCAAUUUGUAGUUUGUGGGAGGAAUAAGGGGAUGUUUUUAGAAGUGUGUUUUCAGUGCAGGUAGUUUGUGGUAAGUAAAUCCCUUAGGGGAGGCUCUGCCGGAUUUUCCAUUGGAGGGUUCGGUAGGGUUUCCCUGGGAUCAGGGCUGUCUAGGGUUCCGGGGAAGGAAUUCUGGACGGGUCCUGACAGUCUGUAACGGCCCAAACCACCCGCAUCAGGAUAUUGUCCUCUUUGGCCCAGGGUUCACACCCUCUCUCCCCCCUGGCCUCAAGGUUUUGCUCACAAAACGCGUCCUGAAGGGAGAGGUAUCCACAGCCUUAUAAAGACCGCUUCGUGCCCCUCUCCAACCGAUGUGGGAUGUUACAAUCCUCCCCCCUUGGGGCCCAGCGUCCUCGCUGGCACACUGAUCUGGGUACUGGCUCUGAUACCACUGUAACGGCCCAGACCACCCGCAUCAGGAUAUUGUCCUCUUUGGCCCAGGGUUCACACCCUCUCUCCCCCCUGGCCUCAAGGUUUUGCUCACAAAACGCGUCCUGAAGGGAGAGGUAUCCACAGCCUUAUAAAGACCGCUUCGUGCCCCUCUCCAACCGAUGUGGGAUGUUACAUAUACAUAUCUUUACUUGAUUAUCUAAUAAAUUAUUUCCCAUUUCUAUGAA